UUCAACCUCAAAUCAGUCGUGACAACCCGCUGAACUUAAGCAUAUCAAUAGGCGGAAGGA
rnacentral:rRNA from 1 species